GUGCUCGCUUUGGCAGCACAUACACUAAAAUUGGAACAAUACAGAUAAGAUUAGCAAGGCCCCUGAAUAAGGGUGACAUGCAAAUUCGUGAAGUGUACCAUAUUUUU
rnacentral:snRNA from 1 species